UGUUCUCUUUUAAAUAAAAAAAACCGACUCUGUGUGAACUUUACAAAAGGUUGUCAAUCUUCUCACAGCAGCCGCCAAUGUGGUCAGAGUGAGUGAGUAAU